rnacentral:SRP_RNA from 1 species
CCUAGGUACGUAGGUGCGGCCUGUAAGGCUCGUUCUGUGGGAAGCUGCGGCUGGCUGAUUGUCAGAGUUCAGGGCUGCACCCGGGGGUGCUGAGCAGGUGUCUGAGCAAGUUCAGCAUCAGUACGGGGAUCUCUGGGAAGUUUGGGGUCCCCAGGUUGCCUAGGGAGGGGUGAACCGGCCCAGGUCAGAAAUGCAGCCGGUCAGAAGUCCCGUGCUGAUUGCUGCUGGGAUUGCACCUGUGAACAGCCGUUGUAGCAGCAGCUGGGCAGGACAGGGAGAGCCAGACUCUU